rnacentral:ncRNA from 1 species
CCAGCUUAGCGUAACUGGCGAUACGACGUCGUCUGUCGCGACGGUUAAGCGAUACCCGGUCCUUCGGGCAUCGCGUGCCGGGGCGGGGUCGGCAUGGUUUGCGCGAUCGGUGCGAUCGUUUGCAAAUGCCAUUGCCGGACCUCGUUUCGGCGCUCCGUGGCAGUCGGCGUCGAGGUGGAACUGCCCACCGUGAAGCGCUAAGCGUCGUUUGCGCCGUUCGCCUGGGCAGAGCCG